rnacentral:piRNA from 1 species
UAAGACAGAAAGUUCUCCCCAGCGU